AAAUUAAGAAUUAUUUCAAGCGAGGAUAACAUAACUCACAAAAUUCGUGUUAAUUCUAUACACUUAUAAUCAUAAAUCGGUUCAUAAUACUACAAAAAGAUCCCCAGCUGAUAUCUUCCUGUACGCCGGACUAUCAGAUUAUAACACCCAACUGAAUAAGGUUAGGAAGAUCAAUCAUUUGAAUAACGAUAGAAUCGACUUUGAAGUAGACACACGCUACAAAAAUGCACCCCUAGUUAAAAAAUAACAACCAAUCCGAUCAAAAGAAUAGGGGAAAUUCGGCAGAGUACCCGAAGAGAGUACUGGGAAUCUGGAGCUACAACAUGAUUAAGAUUAUAAUCUUACUAAUGUUCACCGUCCUACAGUCUACCGGACAGAAUAUAGAGAUAGAUCCCAUCAACUCAAGGAAUGGAUAUCUCAUAUUCAAAACAGAUACCAUUAACAUACCCAUUAAUUAUGAAUAUCAUUAUUUAACAAUUAAUAUAACAAGAACAGAUGAAACAUA